GGGUCAUAGCUCAGAGGUAGAGCAUCUGCUUUGCAUGCAGAAGGUCUCAGGUUCAGUCCUUGGCAUCUCCA